GGCGCUAUUAGAAAAGCACAUGAAGACGUUCAAAUGGUGGUGGAGACUCUUUACAACCAUUGCAGUGGAAGCUAGAUAAAGAUAUGAGAAACGUUAAUAUAAUUUUUUUAGCGAAGCUUUUGAGAAUUUUCAGGAUGAUAUGGUUCAAGAGUAUUCAGAUGCACCUUUAGGACAUUCUCAAACUCAUUUGCCUAUGGCAUCUAAAGUUUUUUUUUUUAUGGUUUUCAUCUUAGGUUCGCUCAAAAUCUAGACAUCUCUUGGUUUUAUUAUCUUCUACCACUUAAAACAAAUAUAUGAGCAUGCUUCAGGUUUAAAAGGGAUAGCAUGGCAGAAGAGCCUUGAAGAGGACCAUCAAAUGACUAAAGUUGAGCUUAGAAGACAGAAGCUAUGCGGAAAGAUUUUGAUAGUCAACGAGCA
rnacentral:lncRNA from 1 species